rnacentral:lncRNA from 1 species
AGCAGCAUUAGCAACACCAGAUUUCCUCCCUUUGAAAGUUGUAUUUUGUGGAUAGCCAUGAAGUUUGAAGCAUUUAUCAAUUAAAUGUCCAGACUUCUUACAGUAUCUAGAGAACAACAACCCUCUACCUUGAUCAAAGUUGACUCUUUGUUUGAAGGAAGAGAAAGUAUUGAGCAUUGCAGCCUUAUUAGAGUCAACUGGCUUCCUGUUAGAGUAGGCAUUAAAAGAUACAGAAU